rnacentral:rRNA from 1 species
UGGGGAAUCUUGCGCAAUGGGCGAAAGCCUGACGCAGCAACGCCGCGUGAGCGAAGACGGCCUUCGGGUUGUAAAGCUCUGUCAGGAGGGACGAAGCCACUCAGGUGAAUAGCCGAGAGGGUGACGGUACCUCCAGAGGAAGCCCCGGCUAACUACGUGCCAGCAGCCGCGGUAAUACGUAGGGGGCAAGCGUUGUCCGGAAUCAUUGGGCGUAAAGCGCGUGUAGGCGGCCAUCCAAGUCCGAUGUGAAAGCUCGGGGCUCAACCCCGAGUCUGCAUUGGAAACUGGAUGGCUUGAGGCCGGAAGAGGAGACGGGAAUUCCUGGUGUAGCGGUGAAAUGCGCAGAUAUCAGGAAGAACACCGGUGGCGAAGGCGGGUCUCUGGGACGGUACUGACGCUGAGACACGAAAGCGUGGGGAGCAAACA